UGUCAUUAGUCAUUAAUAGUGGACCAAUUUCACACCAAGGUCUGCAAUAUCGAUCAAGACUAUACAUGCUCGCAUCUAGUUUGCUAUUUCAAACGGGAAUGUGUACGUACGUGUGUGUACAGGUACAUUCAGCACUCAAGGCAAUGCGUAGGACUACAAUGCAUUGCAUUGCACUAUACGAUGUGUAUGUAAUGUAUUUGAAUUCAGAGUGAAAAAGCCGUUGCAAGAAGUACCAUACUCCUGAAUACUCUCGUUUUCUCCUGCAAAUUUACAGUAUGGGCAUCUUUUUUUAACAUCUUUCGUCAAAGAAGUGGAUUCAAAGCACAUUGUGGCCUCAGUAUAUUGAUGUGAAACCAUGCAGAAAAUGCUACUUUCUCUCAACCUUGUGGAUGUUCCCUACUUCCCUAAGGAUCAGCAGCCUCUUGAAACAGGUGAAGCCAUUAUCGAAUUCCUUGCGUCUAUGUUCCUUGGAUCUGAAAACAGUGCAUAAUGCAGGAGAUUCCACCCAAAA